rnacentral:rRNA from 1 species
GACGAACGCUGGCGGCGUGCUUAACACAUGCAAGUCGAACGGAAAGGCCCUGCUUUUGUGGGGUGCUCGAGUGGCGAACGGGUGAGUAACACGUGAGUAACCUGCCCUUGACUUUGGGAUAACUUCAGGAAACUGGGGCUAAUACCGGAUAGGAGCUCCUGCUGCAUGGUGGGGGUUGGAAAGUUUCGGCGGUUGGGGAUGGACUCGCGGCUUAUCAGCUUGUUGGUGGGGUAGUGGCUUACCAAGGCUUUGACGGGUAGCCGGCCUGAGAGGGUGACCGGCCACAUUGGGACUGAGAUACGGCCCAGACUCCUACGGGAGGCAGCAGUGGGGAAUAUUGCACAAUGGGCGGAAGCCUGAUGCAGCAACGCCGCGUGCGGGAUGACGGCCUUCGGGUUGUAAACCGCUUUCGCCUGUGACGAAGCGUGAGUGACGGUAAUGGGUAAAGAAGCACCGGCUAACUACGUGCCAGCAGCCGCGGUGAUACGUAGGGUGCGAGCGUUGUCCGGAUUUAUUGGGCGUAAAGGGCUCGUAGGUGGUUGAUCGCGUCGGAAGUGUAAUCUUGGGGCUUAACCCUGAGCGUGCUUUCGAUACGGGUUGACUUGAGGAAGGUAGGGGAGAAUGGAAUUCCUGGUGGAGCGGUGGAAUGCGCAGAUAUCAGGAGGAACACCAGUGGCGAAGGCGGUUCUCUGGGCCUUUCCUGACGCUGAGGAACGAAAGCGUGGGGAGCGAACAGGCUUAGAUACCCUGGUAGUCCACGCUGUAAACGGUGGGUACUAGGUGUGGGGUCCAUUCCACGGGUUCCGUGCCGUAGCUAACGCUUUAAGUACCCCGCCUGGGGAGUACGGCCGCAAGGCUAAAACUCAAAGGAAUUGACGGGGCCCCGCACAAGCGGCGGAGCAUGCGGAUUAAUUCGAUGCAACGCGUAGAACCUUACCUGGGUUUGACAUGGAUCGGGAGCGCUCAGAGAUGGGUGUGCCUCUUUUGGGGUCGGUUCACAGGUGGUGCAUGGCUGUCGUCAGCUCGUGUCGUGAGAUGCUGGGUUAAGUCCCGCAACGAGCGCAACCCUUGUUCACUGUUGCCAGCACGUUAUGGUGGGGACUCAGUGGAGACCGCCGGGGUCAACUCGGAGGAAGGUGGGGAUGACGUCAAGUCAUCAUGCCCCUUAUGUCCAGGGCUUCACGCAUGCUACAAUGGCUGGUACAGAGAGUGGCGAGCCUGUGAGGGUGAGCGAAUCUCGGAAAGCCGGUCUCAGUUCGGAUUGGGGUCUGCAACUCGACCUCAUGAAGUCGGAGUCGCUAGUAAUCGCAGAUCAGCAACGCUGCGGUGAAUACGUUCCCGGGGCU